UACCAGCACCCCGAGUGGUCGGGACGAUUAUUGGGCCUAAAGCAUCCGUAGCCGGUCAUGCAAGUCCUCCGUUAAAUCCACCUGCUUAACAGAUGGGCUGCGGAGGAUACUGCAAGGCUAGGAGGCGGAAGAGGCAAGCGGUACUCAGUGGGUAGGGGUAAAAUCCUCUGAUCCAUUGAAGACCACCAGUGGCGAAGGCGGCUUGCCAAUACGCGCUCGACGGUGAGGGAUGAAAGCUGGGGGAGCAAACCGG
rnacentral:rRNA from 1 species